ACAUUUUUGGAGUAUUUAUUUACAGGUCAAGUGUACGUUUGAGCCCACUUUAAAAAUAAUUGUGUAAUCCAAUGAAGAAUGCAUUUUUCAUUAGCCAUACAUAAAUACAUAUACGCAAGAAGUAUAUAAUACUACAAGUUGAAUCUGGAAUGUAUAGAAACAGAUAUGAUCUCAAGAAACUGAAUAAAUCAAAAUGGAGUUAAUAAUUUAAGCAUGGAGAAGUCUUGUUAUCCAUAGAAUACAUGGAUGGGUUCGCAUAGAUACUCGCAAUACACUUAAUACGGUUGUAGUCGUUUUGAG
ensembl:ncRNA C08B6.17 ncRNA